CUCUGCUUUUUAAGGUCAUUGGUUUAUGGUUGGGGUUGGGGUGCUCAUUUGGUUCCAAAGAACAAGGUUUCCAUUUAUUUAAUAUUUUGCCUAUUUUUCUUCCCUAAGUGCUUCCCCGAAGCCAUCAGGUCGUUGUGCUUGUCACUGAGUGCUCUGGUGAUUCUCUGGGCCAGGCCGCAGGCUUCUCCAGCUGUGCGGAGAUGGGCUUCACCUUGUGGCUCCGCCCCUCCGAGGCUGCGUCUGCUGCUUGGAAGAACCGUGGAGUCUGGCGAUCGGGAACGUCUCAUUGCACCCCUUUUCCACACCAUCUGUCUGACCUGGACCCAUUCCAAACACUACGGCGUUACUGGCAGACUGGUCUUCCUGCUGCAGAAGUUUUGUAAUCUGCUAAUUGACAGGGCAUCUCGUUUGUGCACGAUCACGCGCUCUCCCCUGUGUUCUCUGCCUCAUUGAGAAUAUGGCAUCCUCGGAGAAGAACACCGAUACGAUCUACCAGAGCAUUAUCCUCUACUUAGUUUACUCAUUAAGCAACGAUUUUAUUAUUAUUAUCUCUUUGUAGCAUGAGACAGAUGGCAAAGAAGGAGUUUGCUUUACUGAACAAGACGGAGCGCUGGGCACGGCAAAUCUCCUGGAUGGUUAAUAUCUCCGGUCGUCAUUGCGCCCUAAUGAGCGUGUUUGCUUUUGGGUAAGGCCCGGUCCCACACUCAGCUCUUAAUUCAAGUGCAAAGUUGUUAUCGAUACUCUUUUUCGUGCACAUAGGCUAAGGGGAGAAGAACCCUAGAGAAGGAACUAUCAUGAAAAAUGUGCUGUUCAAGUUUACAUUUGUGGUCGCCCUCAUCUUGCAAUUGUGCUGUAAAUCUCAGUGUCAGCAAGGGGGGUCGUGGGCAAUGAUCAGACCCAUGUCCUUGGAAGGUGGUCCUCCCUACGCAGGGGCUACAGGCACAUGUUGAGGGUACCUCACGAGUGCGGGGGGAGGGGUAUCCUGAGACUCUGGCCUCCGCAGACCCCUCUCGGCCAUACCCCUGGACCUGCGCUGAGCAGCGCUCGGCAUGGGGAAAGAUGAGAACGAAAGAGGACUUCUGCUCUACCUUUGAAAACUUCAAAGAAACCCUUCCCAAUCUGGUUCUGAUGAUCCAGGUCUCAGUGCAAAAUCAUACAUAAAGAUCUGAAAUCUGCACACUGAUCAGAAAUCGUUUUUGGAAAUUCAGAUUUAAUCCCAUGAGCCAAAUGAUCACUACCAACAGCGAUCAGGGAAAACCAAAGUCCACAGCAAAUUUUAAUUUGGCAAAUGCAUAAAAUGUUCAAAAGAGCAGAGGUCUCAUUUACAUUCCUCCCGCUCAUAUGGGAUUUUCUUCUAUAUUAGUAAUUAAAGGGUGCAGGCUCUAGAGUGCAACUAUAUCACAUAAUAGCCAUCGGGGACACACUAACAACUUCCUUGAAGUAACGCACACUA
rnacentral:lncRNA from 12 species